UUUAUGGUUUGGUAAACCUAACACGGAAUGUGGACUUGACCAAAAUAUCAAGUGUCAAGGCUCAGGAUAAAGACCCUAAAUAUGCGCCGUUAAAGCGGACUCCCGUGGGAGAAGUGUCCUCUUACGUUUAUGCUAAUUCAAACCAUGUCCGACGCUUAUGAUCUUUUGUUUUCUCUUUGAAAACGUUGAGACUUGUGUUCAGAUUCCUACUGGAACACCAGCGGGAAUUUUUCAUCAUAAAGAAGAGGACAGGUAAUGAGUCCAGAAAGACAAGUCCAGAAAUUCUCAGAAAAUAGAAAUGGAGGCUGAACCUGCAGAUUGUGGAUGGCAGUGAUGUGAAUGAUGGAGCAUCUACCCAGAAAAGGUGGUCUCUGAAAAUCAGGUGGAAGGGGGUACCAGCAGAUUCAGGGAGGUCUUCGAACCCGGAUCAAAGAGGUGUGUU